AACGAACGCUGGCGGCGUGCCUAACACAUGCAAGUCGUGCGAGAAAGUUCCUUCGGGAGCGAGUAAAGCGGCGCACGGGUGAGUAACACGUAGGUAACCUGCCCCCCAGUCUGGAACAACUAGAGGAAACUCUAGCUAAUGCCGGAUGAGACCACGAUCCCUUCGGGGGUUGCGGCCAAAGAUGGCCUCUACCUGUAAGCUAUCGCUGAGGGAUGGGCCUGCGGGCCAUUAGCUUGUUGGUGAGGUAACGGCUCACCAAGGCUGUGAUGGCUAGCUGGUCUGAGAGGAUGACCAGCCACACUGGGACUGAGACACGGCCCAGACUCCUACGGGAGGCAGCAGUGGGAAUAUUGCGCAAUGGGCGAAAGCCUGACGCAGCGACGCCGCGUGGGUGAUGAAGGCC
rnacentral:rRNA from 1 species